rnacentral:misc_RNA from 1 species
AAGUCGUAACAAGGUAACCGUAGGUGAACCUGCGGUUGGAUCAUUAACAAAAUGAUAAAGGCAAGGGCCGUAAAACGUCCUUGCUUUUAUAAACACCUGUGAACUGUAAUUGUAUCUGGUGGAUCUCGGUCCACCAUCAAUCAUUUGAACUUUUAUAUCUUGAAUUAGUUUUUAAAUUAUAUUAAUUUUAAACAACUUUUGACAACGGAUCUCUAGGCUCUC